rnacentral:tRNA from 1 species
GGUUUUAUAGUUUAAUAAAAAUUUUAAAUUGCAAAUUUAAAGAUAGAGAUUUAAUCUUAAAACUU